UGUAGAAAUGAACGUUAGCAACGAACUGUCUGAAAAACAGAACUCCACCAGGAUGUUGGUCCUCAGUACAGGGGUGUGGUACCGGAGAAUCAAGCACCAAAUAAAACUAAGGGAGAAGAUGCUCCGUAAUUGUUGAUGAUGAAGCAGAAAUGUCUUCAGAAGGGAGGCAAGCCUCUGCUGCUCACGAGCCCUCUGUCCCAGAUGGACGUCCCCAGGCUACCUGCCGCUUGUUAAGGUCAUCCCACAGCAGCUUUUCAGGGUAAGAAGCCUGCUGUGUGUAACCUGUUGGAUACAGGCAUCCUACCUCACCAGCCAGACAGAGAAGCUGGUAAAGGGGUUAUUAACAAAAGUUUGGAAGAGUAAAUGCUAGAGAUGUAGAAUUCUCAAUCACCACUGGCAGAAAUGUAACUUGGUUC
rnacentral:lncRNA from 1 species